rnacentral:rRNA from 1 species
GACUACCCGCUGAACUUAAGCAUAUCAAUAAAGCGGGAGGAA